UCAAAACAGCGGCCUUCGGGCCUCGCUGCACCCUUGUCUUUUGCGCACCGUAUUGUUUCCUCGGCGGGCUUGCCUGCCGGUUGGACAUCAUAAAACCCUUUUGUAGUUGCAAUCAGCGUCAGAAAAACAAUAAUUAUUA
rnacentral:misc_RNA from 1 species